UAGAUUCGUCUUUGUUUCACAGUAAUGAACCAAAUGGAAGUGGGCAAUGUCUCCAUUUGUGGUGGUACAACAAUGACUGGAAAUUGGAUGAUACGACGUGCGACUACAAUCAGAAGUAUCUAUGUGCAGAUUUACCGCGUCCUAGUUCCAUAACAGCGCUUCCGACUAAACCUCAGUGUGAUUUUGGAUCUCUAUUCCAAGUUGCUGACAAGAAUGAUUUAGAACGUGCACAGCUCGUAAUUCAAACAAAUGGAGAGAAUAGAAAUUUCUGGGUGGAUGGGCGCAUAUCAGGCAAUACCAUUACCUUUACUGGUGGUUCAACAAUAUCGGUUAAUUCAGAAUUGUUUCAACCAAAUGAGCCCAAUGGAAGUGGUCCCUGUCUCCAUUUGUGGUGA